UACAGAGGGUGCAAGCGUUGUUCGGAAUUACUGGGCGUAAAGCGCGUGUAGGCGGCGGCGUAAGUCGAAUGUGAAAGCCCUUGGCUUAACCAAGGAAGUGCAUUCGAUACUGUGUCGCUUGAGUACCGGAGGGGAUGGCGGAAUUCCCAGUGUAGCGGUGAAAUGCGUAGAUAUUGGGAGGAACACCAGUGGCGAAGGCGGCUACCUGGACCGGUUCUGACGCUGAGGCGCGAAAGCGUGAGUAGCAAACAGG
rnacentral:rRNA from 1 species